rnacentral:rRNA from 1 species
GACGUAGGGCGCGAGCGUUGUCCGGAUUUAUUAGGCGUAAAGAGCUCGUAGGCGGCUUGUCGCGUCGGCUGUGAAAACCCGCAGCUCAACUGUGGGCUUGCAGCUGAUACGGGCGGGCUGGAGUUCGGUAGGGGAGACUGGAAUUCCUGGUGUAGCGGUGAAAUGCGCAGAUAUCAGGAGGAACACCGGUGGCGAAGGCGGGUCUCUGGGCCGAUACUGACGCUGAGGAGCGAAAGCGUGGGGAGCGAACAGG